GCGAGUGUAGCUCAGUGGUAGAGCAUAACCUUGCCAAGGUUGGGGUCGCGAGUUCGAAUCUCGUCACUCGCUC
rnacentral:tRNA from 1 species